rnacentral:rRNA from 1 species
GCAUAAUCAUUUGCCUUUUAAUUAAAGGCUAGUAUGAACGGAUAAACGAGAAUUAAGCUGUCUCUUUAACCCACAUAAAAAUUAAUUUUUUUGUGAAAAAGCAAAAAUAUCAAUAUAGGACAAAAAGACCCUAUAGAACUUUAUUAAUAUUAUUUUAUAGCACAUAUUAUAUAUACCGCCUUAACCUAAUUAUAAUUUAGUUGGGGCGACUCAGGAACAUAUAUAACUUCCUUUUAUUAUCAGGCUAAUUAAGCCAGCUAAAUGACCCAUUAUAUGACCACAAGCUAAGUUACCUUAGGGAUAACAGACUAAUUUCCCUUAAGAGCCCAUAUUGACAGGGAAGUUUGGCACCUCGAUGUUGGCUUAGGUACCCCUAAAAGUGAAGCCGCUUUUAAUGGCAGGCUUGUUCCGCCUCUAACUACCU